GCUGCAACAGAGCAAUCCUCUGAAUGCCUUUCAGGCUCUGAGCUCAGUAAGGUCUGUGGGUGCCAGUCCUUGACUGAAAGGGAUUUUGAGCCUGUGCUCUGAAGUCCAGCAUGAACCUGUUCCUCAGGCAGUAUGGCACAUCUCCCAUCACCUCAGUUUGUGAUAAAUGAUACCUUGCUUGAAGUAAGUCCCAGCUGAUGGUAUGUAGCCACACUGCAGAGCCAGGAAGUGUCCAACAGGUUGAGAUGUGUCCUUUGGAGGAACACAAGUUUGCUAUCCUGGAUGUUCAGAGCAUAACUGGAAGAUAUAAUGCUUGGGAUGUAUUUUUUUCCCCCGAAGUGACUUACAGCUACAACUCAUUGGAAAUACUGGGAUCUAGCAUCUACAGAAUAAGAAUAUGAUGCCUGCAAAUGCUGGAACAGGUUCUCUAGAGUUAUAUGCUACAUUCAUGAGAAGUGUGACACAGCUGCUAGGCACUCAAGAUUUUGGGGUGGCCAUCCUAUAGAGUUAGGAGUGAAUGUGUGAACGCUGAAAUAGAGCAGGUAUAUCUGCAUGGAACAGAUGUACAUUUUUAUGGACCACCUUCUGAUAUCUUACGGAACAAGAGUGGACCCACGAGCCUCAAAGCCUCUGCAGCAAAAAGCCAGAUGGUGCUUUGGUAUCUCCUGACACUUCUGGGUGCAGCAUGAACUCCUGGCCAACAACCCUAACCUGCUUGUACAUAUUGCCUACUCUCUGUCUCUCACAUCUGCCCUUCCUCUUUGGAAAAACUGGUUAGAUUAAGGAUAUUGGGAAAACACCGGGUAGCAGGUGUGAUAGCUGUGCUCAAGGAAAAGAUGCUAUAGGGUCUACCAGACAGGUGUACAGGAUGUGCAAACUAGCACUGUUUGUUCUUAAUUUUCAUUUGUUCUGCAGCAGUGGGAAGCACCAGGGGAUGAAUUGUAUAGAUGUAGUGCUGAAGGUGACUGUGGUGGUGGGGACUCCAACAGCCAUCACCUCUUGGCCACAACAGGUUGUUUUAUGGUUUUGUGUGUUUGCAAAGCUGGAAGCCAAUGGACAGUCAAUGUAAAUAUGUACCUUCCAAUAGGCUUCAUCACCUAGCUAUGCUGAAAUUUCCACUGGCAAAAAGGAAAGACAUUUCUUUGAAGGAAGUUUUCUUAAAAUGGAGGUUCAUCUGAUUUCCUGUGUUCUUUUUCAACCCGUUUUUAGAGCAUCAUGAUAACUGUAUACUCCAGGGCUAAUCGAAUCACUGCCAAUAUAAACCAGUUAGCCUUGCACCCUGUUGGGGUGGGGGAUUUGCAAAAUGCUGACCAUUGACCUCACUCUGACCUUGCAAAAGGACCUCAGCAAAACUUACAACUUCAGGACUCUUCAGGUCUCCAGGGCAGAUUUAUGAAGCUAGCUUUUUCUCAGCAAUGAAGCCUGAAGAUAGCAACAGCUCAUCACACAUUAGGCACACUUGGCACAGAAGCCCACUGAACCUUUCUUUUCAAAUGAAAAAAGACCCUUCUAAAAUCAGUUACAAUUAGAUAUCACUGUAUAGUUCACAUUUACACUUUUGUUUCCUAUGGCACUUACGUUCUUUAACACUGUGAUUUGCUCUGUAGUUUGCAAAAGCUUCAUCAACAGAGCUAAAUUAAAUUAAUUACCUGCAACACUUGGUGCAAAAUACGAGCUUGCCUUUCAGCCCCAAAUACAACAUUUGCCUGAAGAAAACUCCCAUUGUUUUCUCCCCUCCCCCCUUUAAAUGUAUCCUUUUGACUGUGUUGGGUGUAAUAAUAAGAAGUCAUACAAAUGCUUCUUCAUUGAUUUUUCUGGUUAAAUAUAAAUGUACCCUCACUGGACUCUUUCCAACAGUGUUGUUUUAAUAUCUGUAGCAACUUAAGAAACCUGAUGUUAUAAUUCAGAUGCACAGUAGGCUGAAGUCCUGGGGUCCGACUGCCAUUGCCUGGGGUUCUCAAGAGUAUGUAGCUGUGUGUUCUUCUGCCAGUGCAUUUCAAAGAGAGGUGUACUGGUCUAGCGCAAGUGCUUAUAGCUGAGCAUAACACCUGCUGCGAGGCAAGGGCAUCUAUGCCUUUGUCAUGGAGGCAACUUCAGGAAAUCUCAGCUUGGUGUCUGCUACCUAAAGAUGCCUUUAAAAAUCCCAACCAGAGUUAGGAAACUAAAAAACUAACGAGGAGGGAAAACCCACCUCUCUCUCUCUCUCUGUGUUUUCCGGGUAGGAAAAUUAAUUUAUGAUUCACAUAUAAUUCUACCAUACUUUUCAGCAUAAGUUCAGUAGCAAUCAAUGGAUAUUUUAUUUUUAUAGUACCUCCUUUUAAAAUGUUUUUUCUAAGACAAGAAAAACAUAACUGUACUUUUCAUCACAAUACAGAGAAAAGGCCAUUUAAAUCUAACACUUGGUAAACUUAAACACUGUAAUAGCAUAAAAAAAUUCAAAUUCAUCAUUACCAGAGAUGUUUUAAAAAUAACUCACACCAAUAAAGCUUUUAAAACAGGAGGAUAAAACACAGACUUGAAUGCUGGAAGGUCUGGUCUCCAGUCAGCACCCUUGGGAUUUACAUGGGUAGCGUCUAUGAUGAGCAGUAUGAAUUAUGUAUGGGCAUUUUUCAACCAUCACUAUAGGAAAGCCUAUGCAUCUCUUCAGGCUCCAAAAUGUCCAGCAUAUGCUAACAGCUUUUUGUCCUAUGUACUAAUGGAAAUUAAGCUAGCCUAUAGACUCUGAAAUACUUCCAUGCUGGCAAGCAAUCCCUCAGAAAAAUAGUUCCUAUAAUACUGAUCUUAGAUCAUAGUACAUUCUGAUGCCAGUGACAAUUAAUUAUGAAUAAUAGUCAUGAAAUAAAAUGUAAGAUCUAAGCAAUUUUCUUCGAUGUUACCUUUGACUUUGUUAUAGCCAAUGAGACAAUAAAUAUUCAGUGUGCUUUCUGUUUUUGCACUGACAAUUAAUAAUAAUUAACCCGUCCCUCCAUGGGAAAGCUUCUAAGAUGAUCUGACUGCAGUGCUGAUUCUCCCAGUGGUCUGACAUAGAUUGCUUUGUGUGCGCAUGUGCGUGCUACAUUUCUUUGGGCUAUUAAUCUGGCUUUGAAAUACUUGAUCUCUUGCACCUGUUACCCACAAAUAAAUACUUCAAGCCCCAUUGUUGAUUCCAUUUUCCCUCCUUUUCUUUUUCUUUCUGUGCUCUCUUUGCUCUGAAACUUGGACAAUGAGAAGAAAGAACACUUUGAUCCUGUUUAGAAUGUGCUCAUUAGAAACAAUGUAAGCACGUCAAUUACCUUUAACUUGUUCCAAAAACAAAACUCAUAGAUAAACAGUUCAUUUAUGCAUCCCUUUACUGAGGGAGCACUACCCUGUAUUUAAAGACUUUUUUUUUCUUUUUUUUGUGGAAAAUAAAAUGUGAGACUUUCAAAAUGCCGUUUUUGCACUUUUAGUGCUUGAUGUCAGUGGGAAGUCCGUACCACACCAUUCAGUGUUAAUUUCACAGCGUUCCUAAGUCUUGCAUUUCCCCAUAACCUCAAUGCCAAACAAUCCAGGAGAGUACUGCAAUUGCUUUUUGUUAUCAUUUUCAUGCAACAAGCAGAGACGAUCAAUAUUAGGCCUUAGGCAACAAAUCUAGUUAAAGAUUAAAAAAAAAAAUUGGAGGAAAGAUGCAGCGACAAGAAAGCAGCACCGACUGAGCAUGCUUCUACUGCGGCACAGACAGAAAGGUAGUGGACGUACUGUAGAAGCUGGCCAUUACGUAGUUUUGGCAGCGAUCACCAGUAAAUUCAUUUGGGCACCUGAGAGGAAAAACAAACAAAAAAAAUGGUAGAGAAAAAACAGAGAAAAGAGAAGAGGUGAAUAUAUGCUAAGAAAGAAGCUCCUUCAGUGUGAACUGAUAUGACUUGGUGAGUUCACUUUCAGAAACCGAAUCUCGGUUUAGUGUGUCAAAACACCUCAAGAUAUUGAGAGCAACUCAUUUGCUCUAUGGAAAUGAACAUGAAAUUCCCCCCAGAAAAACCAGCCAAAACCAAACCAAUCCAGAUCAAAGUGUGUUUCGAUAUGUAAGAGAGAAAAUCACCACUUCAAAUUCACAAAUUGCUUUUAGGAUGCACUUUCCACAAGGCAGCGAGGACACAAGAUCUGUACAUCACUCAUCUCCAUGAGUUUGUUCUUUUAGAGUAGCACUUUACAGCAGUCUCCCAAACAAGAGAGCUGCCAGUGUGUGCAAUAAAUGCAUCUGCAAACGGAUGGAAAGAUCAAAAAUCACACAAAUGAGAAACAUUUUGGAGGUCAAUAAUGCCAUGGUGUACAGAUUUUACUUUUGAAAAUCAGGUCUUAAAUUAGUGUGUAAAGAGGCCGGUUCCAGCUGAACUGUGAAAACACCAAGUACUAUUGAUUUUGUUGCUGUAGUUGGGGAAGAAAGCAAAGUUCAGAUUAUUUUAACAUACUUUCUUGGUUUUGGAUUUUCAUGGGCAGAGUUUCAGUACAUCUUGCUCCAGUGAAUCCAGGUUGGCACCUAAAGGGCAAAAACGUGAUAAGCAAUAGUACACCAAAACCACUGCACUAACAGACUGAUAUCUGCUGGCCUAUGGAGAUGGUAGUGCAUUAAAUGACCUCCUGGUUAGGUGUUAGUGAAAAAUGACCAGAAAAGGGGCAAGAAAGUGUAAUCUUUCUGGAAGAUAGCACUUCACAAAAUUUACUGCAAAAAUCCACCAGAGAAAAAAAUAGGAAGUCUUUUUGUUUGCCUGUUUUGAAAAAGAAGACCUAGCAAAAAUGUGUAUCAACUCAUUGCUUAUUCCACGUCAUGAAGGGAUCAGAUUGAGUUUUUAAAAUUUGCAAUGUGCUGUAUAACUGCGAUUUAUACUGUUGCAGUCAUACAGAAUCUAUGAAAAUACUAUCAUUUCCCUAUUUCUGUAAUGACAAGUCAUGUUUUUGAGUAGUUUCCUUGAAUGGGAGAUAGUUAAAACAGCAAUCACAG